UCAGCGAUAUUCAGGAAGGUGGUCCUGAGGUAGAACAAAAUUUACAUCAUAUCAACUUCGAUGACAAAUUUUUACAUAUCUAAUCCUUCCCCUUCUUUUAUGACCCUUUCUUUCUUUCUUUCUUUCU
rnacentral:ribozyme from 1 species